rnacentral:rRNA from 1 species
AACGAACGCUGGCGGCAUGCCUAACACAUGCAAGUCGAACGAGACCGUCGGGUCUAGUGGCGCACGGGUGCGUAACGCGUGGGAACCUGCCCUUAGGUUCGGAAUAACUCCCCGAAAGGGGUGCUAAUACCGGAUAAUGUCUUCGGACCAAAGAUUUAUCGCCUUUGGAUGGGCCCGCGUUGGAUUAGCUAGUUGGUAGGGUAAAAGCCUACCAAGGCGACGAUCCAUAGCUGGUCUGAGAGGAUGAUCAGCCACACUGGGACUGAGACACGGCCCAGACUCCUACGGGAGGCAGCAGUGGGGAAUAUUGGACAAUGGGCGAAAGCCUGAUCCAGCAAUGCCGCGUGAGUGAUGAAGGCCUUAGGGUUGUAAAGCUCUUUUACCCGGGAUGAUAAUGACAGUACCGGGAGAAUAAGCUCCGGCUAACUCCGUG